CCCAUUUUCCAUUUCUUUAGCCUUUCCUACCUAAUCUUCCAUUUUCUGUACUCCCCUGCCCUCUAUUCCAGGGCAGCCUGAAAAGUCUACCCAGAGCUAGCCAGGCAGGAGGAAUGAGGGAUGGCCAGGCGGGCCUCCAGUCUGGGAGUCACCACUUAGCGUUCUGCACCUGCGCUGUUUUAGGGUCUGGUCUUCAAUCUGCCCACUCUCUAGUUUCAUUCCUUUCCAGUGGCCCUCGCUGUGGCUGGCUGGGGCCUGCAGGCCGACACUCUGUUCAGAUCUCUAGGGAGGCUGAAGCUAGUCACAGAUGCAGUCAUAGGAAGUCUUUGUCACUUGCCUCUGGGCUUUACAGCUCCCUGCCCUUGCCAGUUGGAGGUUCCCAUUUUCCUUUUGUGCUGUUCGGGGUACUCUGCACCAAAACUCACAGUGGAAGCUGUCAAGAGCCACACCAUACACAGCACUAGGCUGACCACUCCAUGACCUGGAGGCUCCGUUUCUGCCAGGAGGGCCAAAGGCCUCACUCAGUCACAGGUCAACCCUCCUCCCAACCCCGCCUUCGGUUUACCCCUGGUCUGGAGGGAGCCAGGAAACUCUGGAAGAUUCUCUUAUGUGCUUUCAGAUGCAAAGCUCCAUUGUCUUCUGGGCCCUUUGAUUUCCCCAAAGGAAUACUCUGGAUCCCUUAUUGAGUAUCUGUCCCUUUCACCAUCUGCAGUCAGAAGGCUCUGGUGUUUAGAUUUGUAAUGAAAGGAACUCUUCCCCCUCGGACCAAAAUAAAAUUCUUCCAUCGCAUAUCCUUGGAGGCAGCAUUUCUCCAGCCCCUCGGAGAGUCAGUUCCACGGGAAUAGGAAUAGCUGGACUGGGCUGGUGCCCAACACUGCAUCAUAGGAGGACAAUUCAGAUAGAGUGCGGGGUUGGUCCUGUGGGUCGGGUGUCAUCUGAGCAUGAAGAACAGACACCUCUGGGCUUGCCUUUGAAGGCUGGGGCUCUUUUGACUCAGAAGAUAGGGUUUUUCUUUUGUGAGAAGGCUGCUGGUGGAAUCUCCUCUUUCCCAUAGUUCUUGGGCAGGAAGCACUUCUUUUGGGGGGUAUGCAUUCACCAAGCACCCCCAUCAGUUCCUCAGCAUCCUAUGUAGCUUCUCCUAUCCAUCCACACACCUUCAUUUGACUGGUACACAUUUCCAUGCCUCUCAGUUUUAAAUUCCCUUUUCCAUUGUCCUACACACGUUAUCUUAACCGGUACAUUUAGAUAAUAUCAGAGCUGGCUGUUCUCACUUGGAAGAAAUUAAAUAUGUGAGAAAAGUUGCAGCUCCAACACGAAAAACCACCUAAAUUAAUAAUAAGGAUUUGUUCUGAAGCAGAAUUCGGUUGCAGCAGCCUCUUGGCGUUCUUUGCGAGUGAAGCUACUUUUAAGUAAAACAGCAGCUAUUCAUUAUAUAUUCUGUUUUAUUUUAUUUUAUGUUUUUAUUUAAAAAAAAUGGAUGCUGUCUUCGGAUUGGAGAGGGCAGCUGCAGAGGUGGUGGGGGAAGGCCUGCCUGGAACUCUCUGUGAGAAACAAACUAUUUCUGACAUGGGAAAGCCGAUAAAGUCCAUACAUCUAUGUUGUGGCACUUUCAUUUUGGAGCAUUGUGUAUUUUACCUGUGCUGAGACUUCCUUGUGUGAAUGUAUAGGAAUGGGUACUUGAGGGGCCCUGUUUGAAUAGUCUUCUUGAGGGCUGGGCAUCACUCCUGGCUUUAUGGUUGUAUCAGAUCCUCCAGCCCAGGCUGUGUUUGGCUCUCACUCGGGUUCCCUUGUUUCUUCUGGUCUGUUGCCCUCACUUCCCUGACUCUGCCAGUUACAAUUCUGCCAUUGAGUUCUACCCAGAAGGGACAUAGGAGCAUGCUGCCCUGGAGUCAGCUUUGUCUGCUCACAGUGAGUGGGACAGGGCUGUAUUUCCUAACAUGGGGUGAGGCCUGCCCCCGACAUCUUUUGUUUCCUGGGCAUCUGAAGAAUCUGGUACAUGGGAUUCUUUCAAUGGAUGUGGGACAGGUAGGUCACAGAGAUGUGGUCCAACCCUUGGUUUAGUCUCAGGACAUUUCACGUAACUUGGUAGCAUAAGCUGGUGUUAUCCAAGGGCCAGAGGUGGAGGAGGGGACAAGGCCCUGUAGUCACUAGGGGAAGAGUCUAGAACCGAAAGCCAUACCUACCUAGUGAUGAAAUUUAUUGUUUUGUCAUAAACCUUAUAAAUCCUCAUAUAAAUUUCUCAUCAAUGGCACUGAACCCUCCAUAGGUGAGGUCAGAAAGAGCCCCCUUUGGGGUUGGUUUUGCCCCUAAGCCUCUGCACAGCGUGGUUCUUGAUUUUUCUAGCUGGAUACUUCAUGUUUUCCAAUCACAAGGCUUCCUGCCCAGGUGAAGAUGUGGACGGUUGACACAGGACAGCACCUUGAAGACAAGGGUGUCAGUGGGGACAGCAGCUGUCACUCACUCUGCUCUCGGACAGUGAAUAAUGGUGCAGAAGCUGUGAGUGUAGAAGCGGCAUCCUUGUCCUGGAACAUCGGAGCUAUGUAAAAUUAACAAACAGUUCUCUCACUCCUCAUUUGCUCCUGACUGAACUUUUCAAUAAACGGAUCCUAAUGACGGAGCAAGCGUUCCUAGCAGAAGCAGCCUCUAGGUGAGGCGAUUGGGAAAGGUUGUUUUGUGUGCAAUAAGUGACGCUUUGGAUCUAACAUAGAUAUGUUUCUGCUCUUAGGGCUGGUCCCCUAAUGAAUGCACACACACACACACACACAAACACACACACUCAUAUUUACAUAUGCAGAGGCAGAAUUUGCAUGUAUUCAUCUGAUAUAUAUAUAUAUAUGCUAUCAUAUUCACUUGUAUGUCUAACUCGUUAUACAUGUACCCAAAUGCAUGUAUCCAUGUUAGACGCAUACGUGUCUAAAUACUCACGUUCAUGCAGUUAUAGUGUGCAUGAUGUGUACAAUUAUGCACACAGACGUAUGCCUCUAUAAUCAUAUCUAAGCAUUAUUGGUUACACAUGCACACAGGCUCUUGUAGAAUGUAUUGGGCUCCUGUGUACCCUCAGAGACUCACACAUACUCACACCUGUGUGUGUGUGUGUGUGCAUGUGUGUGUGUAAGUGAACACUAGCCUUCAUGCUCAUUCACACACAGGCGUCAUGUAACAAGGGAAAUGCAGCACCAGUGGGGUUAAUGGAGGCCCCAGACUCCCAUAAAUAUUUAUAGGAAGCACUCAAGCUCUCAAAGUGGGAGACGAAACCUCUCGUCUUGAGCCCCUGUAAAUCACACGGGCUGCUGUGUGCUACCUGUCAGAUCCAGGCUGUUCUCUGCAAAGGCGACACAUACAUGUUGGAGCUGCUGUAGCCAAGGGUCAGAGGUGACGGGGACAAGGCCCUGUGGUCAUCCCUUGAUAAGAGUCCCCAGGAAAGGGUCUAGAACAGAAAUCCAUACCUGUCAAGUGAUGAAAUUUAAUUUUUGUUACCAAGCCUUAUAAUCUCUCUACAAAUUUCUCAUCAACGACAUUCAAUUCAGUGUAGGUGAGGGGGUCAGAAAGAGCCAUCUUUGAGGACCGGUUUUCCCCAUGGUCAUCCCAGUGCCUCGCCAGGUGUCCAUCAAAUAUGUUGUGGUCACCCCACUCCUAGGGACACUGCUUCAAGAGUCAAGUGAAGCAGCUUAGUCCUGCUGCUGCUGCUGUUGCUGCUGUUCCUGCUGUUGCUGUUGCUGCCUGCUGCAUUCAGGGAUGCAGACUGGAGAGGCAUUUUGUGACUAUGUGAGACUCUGCUGCUCAGUGGAGGGACAGCAUCUCGAGCUGAUUGAGGAGUCAAGGAGGAUGUUCUCAGAAAGCAGAACCUGGGUGAAGGGGCGGGGCGUACUUGAAGAAGGACAUUUCCGCUGUCCAAUAGGACUGGAGAUCAGUGAGGACAGGUGGACGUGGAUGUCUGUGGGAGUUCAAGCUCUGAAGGUUUUCAGACCCCGCGUUUCUGUCACUGUCCCAAGCAAGCGGUCUAGAAGGAGAACAUCUUCCCUUCUUCCUUAUUCUGGGCCAUAACAGGACCUUGGAGAAACUCGUCUGGUGGAAACAGGGAGAACAGGCACGCAUGACCCUGCCUGUGCUGCGUGGUGCUUGCGUUCAAACCCAGAGCUUUCUCCACGCUAGGCAGGCUUUCUACCUCCUGCCCUACAUCCCUGCCCUGAUGCUCACUUUAAAUAAAACAGUCAUAUUUGUAUCCCUCAUUGCAUCCACUCCUCUUCUCUCUCCCCCUCCAGACUCCUCUUGUAAUCCCCUACACC